rnacentral:rRNA from 1 species
UCAGACGAUGCGUCAUGCAUAUCAAUAAGCGGAGGAAAAGAAACUAACAAGGAUUCCCCUAGUAACGGCGAGUGAAGCGGGAAGAGCUCAAAUUUGAAAUCUUAAAGGGUUUCCCUUUACGAAUUGUAGUUUAAAGAAGUGUUUUCUGUUGAGGUUUUGGUAAAAGUUCUUUGGAAUAGGACAUCAUAGAGGGUGAGAAUCCCGUAUUUGACCUUUACUUUCAACUUUGUGAUACACUUUCAAAGAGUCGGAUUGUUUGGGAAUGCAGUCCAAAAUGGGUGGUAAAUUUCAUCUAAAGCUAAAUAUUGGCGAGAGACCGAUAGCGAACAAGUACCGUGAGGGAAAGAUGAAAAGAACUUUGAAAAGAGAGUUAAACAGUACGUGAAAUUGUCAAAAGGGAAGCGUUUGACACCAGUGUUGUCUUUCUGAAAAUCAAUUAAAGAACUGUUUAUGCUAAGUUGUUUAGACUUUAUCAGCUAACUGUUUAGUUUUGAGCUUUUCUUUAAUGCACUUUUCAGUUAACAAGUCAACAUCAAUUUCUUUUGCUGUAAAAAAGCUUGAGGAAGGUGGCUUGAGAUUCGUCUUAAGUGUUUAUAGCCUCUUGCCUAUGCAGUCGGAGAGAUUGAGGUCUGCAGCGUAGAUCCUUCGGGGCUAAAUGCAUUUGUGCUAAGUUAUAGCAUUUAUAGACAACUUGUUGACUAGGAUUUGUCUUGUAGCUUACUCGCUUAUGUUAUUUUACCUACGCUUAGGAUGUUGACACACGCGCGUGCUCG